rnacentral:rRNA from 1 species
UACGUAGGGUGCGAGCGUUAAUCGGAAUUACUGGGCGUAAAGCGUGCGCAGGCGGUUUUGUAAGCCAGAUGUGAAAUCCCCGGGCUUAACCUGGGAAUGGCAUUUGGGACUGCAAGGCUGGAGUGCGGCAGAGGAGACUGGAAUUCCUGGUGUAGCAGUGAAAUGCGUAGAUAUCAGGAGGAACACCGAUGGCGAAGGCAGGUCUCUGGGCUGACACUGACGCUCAUGCACGAAAGCGUGGGGAUCAAACAGG